rnacentral:rRNA from 1 species
AUAACGGCGUCGAGCGGCGGACGGGUGAGUAAUGCCUAGGAAAUUGCCCUGAUGUGGGGGAUAACCAUUGGAAACGAUGGCUAAUACCGCAUAAUGCCUACGGGCCAAAGAGGGGGACCUUCGGGCCUCUCGCGUCAGGAUAUGCCUAGGUGGGAUUAGCUAGUUGGUGAGGUAAGGGCUCACCAAGGCGACGAUCCCUAGCUGGUCUGAGAGGAUGAUCAGCCACACUGGAACUGAGACACGGUCCAGACUCCUACGGGAGGCAGCAGUGGGGAAUAUUGCACAAUGGGCGCAAGCCUGAUGCAGCCAUGCCGCGUGUGUGAAGAAGGCCUUCGGGUUGUAAAGCACUUUCAGUCGUGAGGAAGGUAGUGUAGUUAAUAGCUGCAUUAUUUGACGUUAGCGACAGAAGAAGCACCGGCUAACUCCGUGCCAGCAGCCGCGGUAAUACGGAGGGUGCGAGCGUUAAUCGGAAUUACUGGGCGUAAAGCGCAUGCAGGUGGUUUGUUAAGUCAGAUGUGAAAGCCCGGGGCUCAACCUCGGAAUUGCAUUUGAAACUGGCAGACUAGAGUACUGUAGAGGGGGGUAGAAUUUCAGGUGUAGCGGUGAAAUGCGUAGAGAUCUGAAGGAAUACCGGUGGCGAAGGCGGCCCCCUGGACAGAUACUGACACUCAGAUGCGAAAGCGUGGGGAGCAAACAGGAUUAGAUACCCUGGUAGUCCACGCCGUAAACGAUGUCUACUUGGAGGUUGUGGCCUUGAGCCGUGGCUUUCGGAGCUAACGCGUUAAGUAGACCGCCUGGGGAGUACGGUCGCAAGAUUAAAACUCAAAUGAAUUGACGGGGGCCCGCACAAGCGGUGGAGCAUGUGGUUUAAUUCGAUGCAACGCGAAGAACCUUACCUACUCUUGACAUCCAGAGAACUUUCCAGAGAUGGAUUGGUGCCUUCGGGAACUCUGAGACAGGUGCUGCAUGGCUGUCGUCAGCUCGUGUUGU